CACACACACACACACACACCUUAAAGCCAAUGGAGAGUUUCUAGACGACCCUGGCUGCAAAUUAAAUUUGCUGCCGCUAGGGUGGUCUACAUUUCCAGGCUAAUAAAACUGACUAAAAUACCCAAAUUCAAUGAAAGUAGUGAACUGAUUAUUUAACUUCUGAAGAGCGUUGUACGGAACCAUCCACGUUAUUUUUUUUUUUGACAAUUUAUUUGAAAGAAAACCCAAAAUUUCUGAUAUAGAAACUGUUUGAAAAUGGGUCAGAUUUGACCUCGAGGACAACAGGAGGAUUUAAGAACUUUAAAAAGCUUUAACGUGUGAACCUUUUUAUUUCCAAAUUUGUCACAACAACACAUUCAUAAGGCCACAGACUCACUGCACAUUCUGGUUGGAAUCAGAUUAACAUCCAAAAAUAUGUUUCUUCAAUAUAGAAUCAUAUAAAACUUGUUUAGUUUCUCCAUGUUCAGAGAGAGAGAGAGAGAGAGAGAGAGAGAGAG